ACUUUACAAUGCGGGAAACCGUGAUAAGGGAACUCCGAGUGUCCGUAAAUGCGGACUGUCCGUAUGUUUAAAAAGCAUGCGAAGAAAGGGCCGGGCAAGACCGGUGCCAGCCGCCGCGGUAAUACCGGCGGCUCGAGUGGUGGCCACUAUUAUUGGGCUUAAAGCGUUCGUAGCUGGGUUAUUAAGUCUCUUGGGAAAUCUACCGGCUUAACCGAUAGGCGUCCAAGGGAUACUGGUAAUCUAGGGACCGGGAGAGGUGAGGGGUACUUCAAGGGUAGGAGUGAAAUCCUGUAAUCCUUGGGGGACCACCUGUGGCGAAGGCGCCUCACCAGAACGGCUCCGACAGUGAGGGACGAAAGCUGGGGGAGCAAACCGG
rnacentral:rRNA from 1 species